rnacentral:rRNA from 1 species
AUACGUAGGUGACAAGCGUUAUCCGGAUUUACUGGGCGUAAAGGGCGUGUAGGCGGUCUUGCAAGUCAGAAGUGAAAUUCCUGAGCUCAACUCGGGCGCUGCUUCUGAAACUGCAGGACUUGAGUGCUGGAGGGGAUAGCGGAAUUCCUAGUGGAGCGGUAAAAUGCGCAGAUAUUAGGAAGAACACCGGUGGCGAAGGCGGCUAUCUGGACAGUAACUGACGCUGAGGCGCGAAAGCGUGGGGAGCAAACAGGAUUAGAUACCCUGGUAGGCCACGCCGUAAACGAUGAAUACUAGGUGUAGGGGGUAUCGACUCCCUCUGUGCCGCAGUUAACACAAUAAGUAUUCCGCCUGGGGAGUACGUUCGCAAGAAUGAAACUUAAAGGAAUUGACGGGG